rnacentral:lncRNA from 1 species
CUUAAUGAAAAGUCUGUAACAUAGUUUUGUUAAAAUUUCUCAAAGUCACCAGUCCAGUCUGUGCUGAAAUGCCACUGUCAAUCAAACUACCUUGGGAGUGGCCUGUCUGUGUGACAUUACAAAAACAUGCAUCUGAGAUCAGCUCGAUUUGAGAAAAAGAUUUUAGUAGAUAAAAAAAUAAAAAAAAUACUUCGUAUUUAAAAUGAGUAGUAAUUUUACUCCCAGUCAUGAGGGGGUGUGAGGGAGUCAUUGUCAAAAAAGUUUCUCUAGAUCAGAGAAUAAGAGGAGUAGGAAGUUUGAGCAAGGACACUUGUGAGCUAGGAGUAUUUGCUCUCCCCAUGCUUACUCAAACCCUUAUUGAGGAACAAUGGUGUUCUACAUCUCAAUGUUUGGACUGCUCUUCCUCUAAUGGCACAUUGUCCUGGUAAACAGGGGUUCUUCUUUCAAGAGAACAGCAUUGAAGGUUUCUCCUCCAGAAGUGCUACUAACUUCCUCCGGGGGCAGAGACAUGCUUUGAAUGCCUUCUAAAUCAGGAUUAAUGGAUUGUGACACUGGGGCAUUGGGCUGGCGAGUGAAAUUGUUACUGAUGAUUUUGUCACAAAGUAAAAAAUGGCCUUCAGAAGGAAAUUACCCAUGCUUGAGGGAGUUCCUCUUGCACAUCUGCAUUUCCUCCAAAUUGUUUCUAAAGAUGGGAUACCUGAGCACUUGUGAACAUUCACUUUACAUCCUGUGGUCCUGCUGAGGUGAGGACGCUGACCUCCAUUCUGCUGCUAAUCAGGAUUUACACAAGCUUCAGUCUGGAUCCAGAACACCUGAGAAGAGAUGACCCCUCAGAGGAACCCAGAUGAUGCUAACCCUGAAACAACAUACAGAACUACCAAAUGUUGCUGUUAGUUUGAUUGCAUCUAAUUAUAAUUGCUGUUAAUAGUUUUCAUCGUCUGUUUGAUUACGUCUUUAAUUGAUUUUUUUUUUUUUUCAUACAUUUCUGCCAUAUGCACAUUAACUGACAGUCACCACUGAUAAGCUACUACCACUACUAUUGUAGAAACUAAAUUGUCUGUAAAGUUGCUUUGCAAUGAUUUGUAUCGUAAAAUGCGCUAUACAUUUAAACUUGAAUUUA